UUAAAUAUUAUAUUAAGAUAUACGCAAAGAUUCAGGGAGAUUUAGUCACCCGGCAACAAAUCGCCCCAUUCUUUCUUUUCAGUCUAAACUUUAGGGUAGACACAUGCCAAGAUUCUGGGAGAAUCGCCUCCUUUUCGGGCUACUAAAUUCCCUGAACUGCCUUCCUGCCGGCUAGAAUGUAAAUCGCCGGCAGGAUGGCAGUGGGAGCGCUUCAAAAAACUCAAAGUUGCCUCACGAGAAAACUUCAGACGACUUCAGAAAAUGAAACGCUCCGAGUGCCAUCCCACUGGCAAUUUAGAUUCUAUUUAGAAUAGUCGCCCGAAAAGGAGGCGAUUCUCCCCAAAUCUUGGCAUGUGUCUACCCUAAAGUUUAGACUGAAAAGAAAGAACGGGACGCUGAUGGUGCAGAACGUUUAUACAAUUUAUGUGAAUUGCAGUUAGAAUUAUUCUGUUUAGUUUAAGGCAAGACUAAAAUGCCCUCUUCUGUAUUAAAUUGAAGGCCUCUCUGUGUAUAUUGGGCUCAGAAUACAGAGUUGUGAAAUUUAAUGCCACAGAUGCAGGAGAAUAUAGAUAUAAAUGAUAGACUGGUUAUACAUGCUAAUUACAGCCUACCUCAAAUUGUAACUUUGCUGUUAUGGAAAUAUAUAGUAUUAAUUCAACAGCCUCAGCUUCGCUCAUUUAUUCUACAAUUUUCAUAGAUGGAAACAUUAUUUGGGGGAUUUCACGUUGAAAUCAGUCGACUGCACCCUGACUGUACCAAGUAACUGGGCACCUCCUGGAACCUGCAAUGGGGAAAAAUCCCCAGCAGGUCCGUUCAGAAGCAGCUAAAAAACUGGAGCAGUACACACUUACUCCUGGCCAAGAUGGUGGCUGCUCCCCUCCUUCUCUCCCAGAGCAGCAGCCUUUGCCAGACACCAGCCCAGUUUCACCUGAUCCCUCCUUGGGAGCCUUGGAGGUCUGUACAGCCCCGCUACCUAGGGAGAUGGCCCAGCUGCUUAAAUUGGUAAAGUCUAUUUAAUAUGAUUAUGGAUGUCUAAAAUUAUCGGUGUCAAUAGGAUAGUAAUAUUAACCUAUUGAUCUGCAUCAUAAGAAAUACUAGCAACGGUAGUGCCUGUUGGGCAAUCAUCGAUUUUUUUGACAAUUUUUAAUAUAUAAGUUCCCUAUGUGUAUCCAUGGUUGCCCAACAGGCACAACGUGUAUUAGUUAAUGUCUAAUGGACCAGUGCUUAGAAUUGUAGAAAAGCACAUUUUGGUGAGCGAAUUUCAAGUUCACGGUCUGGCUAUGGAUCAAGCCUCUGUUUACAGGGAGGCCCCCAGUAAUCCUCCGGUUGAUGAUAUGCAAACAUGAUGCAGUCAGAUUUAGUUUAACAACUGCUAUGGAGUGCCAGGAAUAUAGCAGCAUGGCCAGUUUACAAUAGGACAGAAGUGGGGACUCUGGAAUAGUAAUAAGGUUAUAGUUGUCUUGUUCUUCUCUGGUGUCUCCAAAAUUGUCACAUUGCCAUGUUUUUACAUUCUGUGGUCCUAUCCACCACCAUCUUAACUGCCCUGUGAAAAAUCACUCCAGCUAAGGUCAAAGGUCCAACUCGAGCUUUAAGAAGAGUGCAGGUGAAUGGGCUUAGUCACUAAGUUUUCUAGCACCCCAGGAAAACCAACAAUUUGCAUCUCCUGACCGCCUUGUGCUUUUAUAAAUAGGUUUCUUUUCCAUUCAUUAUGUAAAUCGUAAACUGUGAUCCCUUCAAAUUCCAUUUUCUGCCAUUUACAGGUUAUGUUUCAAGGCCCCUCUCGCUUCUGUUUCCCCUCUUUCCUUUUUUCUCUUGCCCAUUUUUCUUGCUUUCUGGUGGUCUUUCCUCAUUUCUUGUGUUAUCCAGUAACUCCCUAAGAUCCAUCUCAUUCAACCCCCUUUAAACUUCUCUUCUUGCUUUUGCUUCUUUCUAUGUCUCUCCCUGUGCCAUUCCUCCACCUUUCCCUAUCUCCUAGUGUCCCAUUCAGGGUUGGACUGGGCUGGCAGGACACCAGGAAAAACCCGGUGGGCCCCACCGGCCCAGAUCCGCACCCUGCGAUUCUUCCUGCCGCAACCAGAUGGUCGUGGCAAAAACUCAGUGCUAGAUAUGUUGGUAAUAAUCAUGACAGAAUCCCUUUAAGUAUAAGGGAGAACAAGUGUAAGGGGUAAUACACCUCUAUAUCUCUCUUCCCCUAAUAGAGCUACAAUGGAGAGGACAGAAGUAACUUUGUGGUGAUUGAAGAUUGCAGAUACCAUUGCUGUGACUGUGUGGAACUACAACUCCCACCCACACUCUGUAUUCUGCAGUGACCAGAAACUACAGCUGAGAUUUUGUUGUACUACAACCCUCAAUUGCACUGGGGUACAAGUGUUCCGGGCCCGGGCCUAAAGGGGGGCCGGCUGUUCUGCAUUAUUUGAAAUAGCCAGGCCCCACUUGACAUCGCCAAAGCCGUGCCGCCUCUAAAGCCGAAGUCACGAAAAGACCCGAGCUGAAGUCCUGAAAGGAGCCGCAAUUAAAGUCCUAUUUUUUUUUAAACCCCUGGCCACCAAUGUAUUAUUUUAAUAGUCUGUAGGCCCCUGCCACCAAUGUUUUUUUUAAUAAAUUCUCUGGGGCCUCAAUUUGUUUCUUAACUUGUAUGGGGAGCGCUGGCGCCAAUGUUUUUUUUUUUUAACUUAUAGGGAGGCCCUAGUCACCAAUUUUUUUUUAAUCUUUUAGGGGUGCCCUGACCACCAAUUAUUUGAAAAAACUUUUAUGGGGGCCCUGUCGCCACAAAAAAUUAGUCAUACGGGGCACCGUGAUUUCUAAUGGGGACCCUAAAGACAGGUAUAGGGUAACCUAAUGUAAGAUAAGUUCAAUGCUACAAUAUAUGUAAAAUGACUAUAAAUCCAUUCCAUUCUAUCAAACAUCUAGUCGGUUGCUUUUGAUUAGGGCAGGAAUUCAUGGGCGCUGGCAAUGUGUCACUUGAGACAUUCAGCUGGAAAUACUGUGGUGUGACAAGUUCAUUGGUCUUCUGCCACUUUGGUUUCUAAUCCUUUUUAGAAAUCUCUUGCUGGAAUCAGUGGAAUGAGAAGAAGCUGCCUGGCUCAGACAGAUAGAUGGAGUGGGAGAGGAUGGCAGAGAGGAGCAGGAAAGGAGCCAAUGUCUGUUUACACAGUCAGUUUUUUGUCCUCAAAAAUUGCUGAAGUGAUUCAGCCCCUUAAAGGGUCAUUAUACUGUCCGGUUAUGGCUUUAGAAAACAAUACAUGGUUUGUGCUUGAUUUAUUGCUGAGUAAAACAAGGUUAAUUCUAUGUGA